rnacentral:rRNA from 1 species
AGUGAACGCUGGCGGCGUGCCUAAUACAUGCAAGUCGAACGGAGUGGCGCACGGGUGAGUAAUAUAUAGCGAAACUGCCCCUUGCUGGAGGACAACCGACAGAAAUGACUGCUAAUACCCCAUAGUAAGGGAUGAGAGGACAGCGUAUCAGCUAGUCGGGGGGGUAACGGCCUACCGCGGGUAUGACGCGUAACUGGUCUGAGAGGAUAAUCAGGAACAUUGGACGGGAGACACGGUCGAAGCUCAUACGGGAGGGAGCGUAAGGGAAUAUUGCCCAAUGGGGGAGACCCUAACGCAGCAACGCGUCGUGGAGUAUGACACGUUUCGAGGCGUAAACUCUUUUUGUUAGGGAAGCGGUACCUAACGAAUAAGCACCGGCUAACUCCGUGCCAGCCGCCGCGGUAAUAC